AACAACCUUUUGCAGGAGAAUCAUUUCUAUAGUUAAUCGACCUCUCUUGGUUCCUUAAAAGAGCCAGUUGACCUACCCUGGUUGAUGAUGGUAUAUCCUCGGCACCCCAGAGUGAAAAUCUGCUUUCUGGUCCUCUCGAACUGUCCGCAAGGAUGGCGGCACUGGCUCUCGGGCCUUUGCUGUAUAGAGAGUUGCUUGAGAUGGAGUUGCCUCACGGCGACGGCGAUGUCUCUAUUCACUUGAUGAUCUCGACCCUUUCCGCGGUCUGCCUUCGGGCGCGCAGUUGGGGUGGGUGCCGAUGGACGUCUGACAGGU
rnacentral:snoRNA from 1 species